GACGAACGCUGGCGGCGUGCCUAAUACAUGCAAGUAGAGCGCUGAAGGAGGAGCUUGCUUCUCUGGAUGAGUUGCGAACGGGUGAGUAACGCGUAGGUAACCUGCCUGGUAGCGGGGGAUAACUAUUGGAAACGAUAGCUAAUACCGCAUAAGAGUAGAUGUUGCAUGACAUUUGCUUAAAAGGUGCAAUUGCAUCACUACCAGAUGGACCUGCGUUGUAUUAGCUAGUUGGUGGGGUAACGGCUUACCAAGGCGACGAUACAUAGCCGACCUGAGAGGGUGAUCGGCCAAACUGGGACUGAGACACGGCCCAGACUCCUACGGGAGGCAGCAGUAGGGAAUCUUCGGCAAUGGACGGAAGUCUGACCGAGCAACGCCGCGUGAGUGAAGAAGGUUUUCGGAUCGUAAAGCUCGGUUGUAAGAGAAGAACGAGUGUGAGAGUGGAAAGUUCACACUGUGACGGUAUCUUACCAGAAAGGGACGGCUAACUACGUG
rnacentral:rRNA from 1 species